rnacentral:misc_RNA from 1 species
UCUCCGUUGGUGAACCAGCGGAGGGAUCACUACCGAGUUUACAACUCCCAAACCCAAUGUGAACCAUACCAAACUGUUGCCUCGGCGGGGUCACGCCCCGGGUGCGUCGCAGCCCCGGAACCAGGCGCCCGCCGGAGGGACCAACCAAACUCUUUCUGUAGUCCCCUCGCGGACGUUAUUUUUACAGCUCUGAGCAAAAAUUCAAAAUGAAUCAAAACUUUCAACAACGGAUCUCUUGGUUCUG